rnacentral:rRNA from 1 species
CACGAACGCUGGCGGCAGGCUUAACACAUGCAAGUCGAGCGCCCCGCAAGGGGAGCGGCAGACGGGUGAGUAACGCGUGGGAAUCUACCCAUCUCUACGGAAUAAUGCAUGGAAACGUGUGCUAAUACGGUAUACGUCCUUCGGGAGAAAGAUUUAUCGGAGAUGGAUGAGCCCGCGUUGGAUUAGCUAGUUGGUGGGGUAAAGGCCUACCAAGGCGACGAUCCAUAGCUGGUCUGAGAGGAUGAUCAGCCACACUGGGACUGAGACACGGCCCAGACUCCUACGGGAGGCAGCAGUGGGGAAUAUUGGACAAUGGGCGCAAGCCUGAUCCAGCCAUGCCGCGUGAGUGAUGAAGGCCCUAGGGUUGUAAAGCUCUUUCACCGGUGAAGAUAAUGACGGUAACCGGAGAAGAAGCCCCGGCUAACUUCGUGCCAGCAGCCGCCGUAAAAC